AUUGGACGCUGGCGGAAUGCUUUACACAUGCAAGUCGAACGGUAGAGGGGGCAACCCCUCGAGAGUGGCGAACGGGUGAGUAAUAUAUCGGAACGUGCCCAGUCGUGGGGGAUAACGUAGCGAAAGUUAUGCUAAUACCGCAUACGAUCUAAGGAUGAAAGCGGGGGAUCGCAAGACCUCGCGCGAUUGGAGCGGCCGAUAUCAGAUUAGGUAGUUGGUGGGGUAAAGGCUCACCAAGCCAACGAUCUGUAGCUGGUCUGAGAGGACGACCAGCCACACUGGAACUGGGAAACGGUCCAGACUCCUACGGGAGGCAGCAGUGGGGAAUUUUGGACAAUGGACGCAAGUCUGAUCCAGCCAUUCCGCGUGCAGGAUGAAGGCCCUCGGGUUGUAAACUGCUUUUGAACGGAACGAAAAGGUCACUCUUAAUACGGGGGACUCAUGACGGUACCGUAAGAAUAAGCACCGGCUAACUACGUGCCAGCAGCCGCAGUAAUAC
rnacentral:rRNA from 1 species